CCUACGGGUGGCAUCAGUCGAGAAUCAUUCACAAUGGGGGAAACCCUGAUGGUGCGACGCCGCGUGGGGGAAUGAAGGUCUUCGGAUUGUAAACCCCUGUCAUGUGGGAGCAAACUAAAAAGAUAGUACCACAAGAGGAAGAGACGACUAACACUGUGCCAGCAGCCGCGGUAAUACAGAGGUCUCAAGCGUUGUUCGGAAUGACUGGGCGUAAAGGGUGCGUAGGUGGUGUGGCAAGUUAGUAGCGUAACUCCAAGGCUCAACCUUGGAACUACUACUAAAACAGUUGGACUUGAGUGCAGGAGGGGCAACCGGAAUUCAUAGUGUAGCGGUGGAAUGCGUAGAUAUUAGGAGGAACACCAGUGGCGAAGGCGGGUUGCUAGGCUGUAACUGACACUGAGGCACGAAAGCGUGGGGAGCAAACAGGAUUAGAUACCCUUGUAGUC
rnacentral:rRNA from 1 species